rnacentral:rRNA from 1 species
UGCGUAGGCGGCAAGGCAAGUCAGAUGUGAAAUCCCCGGGCUUAACUCGGGUGCUGCAUUUGAAACUGCUUCGCUUGAGUGCAGGAGAGGAAAGCGGAAUUCCUAGUGUAGCGGUGAAAUGCGUAGAUAUUAGGAGGAACACCAGUGGCGAAGGCGGCUUUCUGGACUGUAACUGACGCUGAGGCACGAAAGCGUGGGGAGCAAACA